AUUGAACGCUGGCGGAAUGCUUUACACAUGCAAGUCGAACGGUAGAGGGGGCAACCCCUCGAGAGUGGCGAACGGGUGAGUAAUAUAUCGGAACGUGCCCAGUCGUGGGGGCUAACGUAGCGAAAGUUACGCUAAUACCGCAUACGAACUAAGGAUGAAAGCGGGGGAUCGCAAGACCUCGCGCGAUUGGCGCGGCCGAUAUCAGAUUAGGUAGUUGGUGGGGUAAAGGCUCACCAAGCCAACGAUCUGUAGCUGGUCUGAGAAGAAGACCAGCCACACUGGAACUGAGACACGGUCCAGACUCCUACGGGAGGCAGCAGUGGGGAAUUUUAGACAAUGGACGCAAGUCUGAUCCAGCCAUUCCGCGUGCAGGAUGAAGGCCCUCGGGUUGUAAACUGCUUUUGUACGGAACGAAAAGGUCUCUCUUAAUACGGGGGACUCAUGACGGUACCGUAAGAAUAAGCACCGGCUAACUACGUGCCAGCCGCCGCCGUAA
rnacentral:rRNA from 1 species